GGACCCCACUGCUAUCGGGAUGGGACUAAGACAUGCUAGUCGAGCGUCUCUAAGCUAUGGAAGAGACGCGGCACACAGCUCAGUAACACGUGGCUAACCUGCCCUUGGGACAAGGACAACUCCGGGAAACUGGGGCUAAUCCCUGAUAAGUGAGAACUCCUGGAAUGGAUUCUCGCUCAAAGGACGUUUAGACCAUGCUUCUAGGCGUCGCCCAAGGAGGGGGCCGCGACCGAUCAGGUUGUUGGUGAGGUAACGGCUCACCAAGCCUUUAACCGGUACGGGCCGUGAGAGCGGAAGCCCGGAGAUGGGCACUGAGACAAGGGCCCAGGCCCUACGGGGCGCAGCAGUCGCGAAAACUCCGCAAUACACGAAAGUGUGACGGGGCUAUCCCGAGUGCCAUCCGCUGAGGAUGGCUUUUCCCCAGUGUAUAAAGCUGGGGGAAUAAGGAGAGGGCAAGCCUGGUGUCAGCCGCCGCGGUAAUACCAGCUCUCCGAGUGGUGGGGAUGUUUAUUGGGCCUAAAGCAUUCGUAGCCUGCUUGGCAAGUCCUCCGUUAAAUCCAACGAUUCAAUCGUUGGGCUGCGGGGGAUACUGUCCGGCUAGGGGGCGGGAGAGGCCGACGGUAUCCCCGGGGUAGGGGUGAAAUCCUAUAAUCCCGGGAGGACCACCAGUGGCGAAGGCUGUCGGCUAGAACGCGCUCGACGGUGAGGGAUGAAAGCUGGGGGAGCGAACCGGAUUAGAUACCCGGGUAGUCCCAGCUGUAAACGAUGCAGGCUAGGUGUUGGCGCGGCUACGUGCCGCUCCAGUGCCGCAGGGAAGCCGUUAAGCCUGCCGCCUGGGAAGUACGGCCGCAAGGCUGAAACUUAA
rnacentral:rRNA from 1 species